GAUGAACGCUGGCGGCGUGCUUAACACAUGCAAGUCGAACGGAAAGGCCCAAGCUUGCUUGGGUACUCGAGUGGCGAACGGGUGAGUAACACGUGGGUGAUCUGCCCUGCACUUCGGGAUAAGCCUGGGAAACUGGGUCUAAUACCGGAUAGGACCACUUCUUGGAUGUUGUGGUGGAAAGUUUUUUCGGUGUGGGAUUAGCUCGCGGCCUAUCAGCUUGUUGGUGGGGUAAUGGCCUACCAAGGCGUCGACGGGUAGCCGGCCUGAGAGGGUGUACGGCCACAUUGGGACUGAGGUACGGCCCAGACUCCUACGGGAGGCAGCAGUGGGGAAUAUUGCACAAUGGGCGCAAGCCGGAUGCAGCGACGCCGCGUGGGGGAUGACGGCCUUCGGGUUGUAAACUCCUUUCGCUAGGGACGAAGCGUUUUGUGACGGUACCUGGAGAAGAAGCACCGGCUAACUACGUG
rnacentral:rRNA from 1 species